rnacentral:rRNA from 1 species
CCAAUAGCGUAUAUUAAAGUUGUUGCAGUUAAAAAGCUCGUAGUUGAAUUUUGGGUCUGGCCGGGUGGUGCGCCCUUCGGGUGAGCACUGUUCCGACGUCGGGCCUAUCCUUCUGGUGAGUCGGCAUGUCCUUUAGUGGGUGUGUCGGGGAACCAGGACCAUUACCUUGAAAAAAUUAGAGUGUUCAAAGCAGGCGUAUGCUCGGAUACAUUAGCAUGGAAUAAUGAAAUAGGACGUGUGGUGCUAUUUUGUUGGUUUCUAGAACCGCCGUAAUGAUUAAUAGGGAUAGGUGGGGGCAUUAGUAUUCAAUUGUCAGAGGUGAAAUUCUUGGAUUUAUUGAAGACUAACUUCUGCGAAAGCAUUUGCCAAGGAUGUUUUCAUUAAUCAAGAACGAAAGUUAGGGGAUCGAAGACGAUCAGAUACCGUCGUAGUCUUAACCAUAAACUAUGCCGACUAGGAAUCGGGCGAUGUUAUUCUCAUGACUCGCCCGGCGCCUUAUG